UAGGGAAUCUUCCACAAUGGACGCAAGUCUGAUGGAGCAACGCCGCGUGAGUGAAGAAGGUUUUCGGACCGUAAAGCUCUGUUGUUGGUGAAGAAGGAUAGAGGUAGUAACUGGCCUUUAUUUGACGGUAAUCAACCAGAAAGUCACGGCUAACUACGUGCCAGCAGCCGCGGUAAUACGUAGGUGGCAAGCGUUGUCCGGAUUUAUUGGGCGUAAAGCGAGCGCAGGCGGAAGAAUAAGUCUGAUGUGAAAGCCCUCGGCUUAACCGAGGAAUUGCAUCGGAAACUGUUUUCUUGAGUGCAGAAGAGGAGAGUAGAACUCCAUGUGUAGCGGUGGAAUGCGUAGAUAUAUGGAAGAAUACCAGUGGCGAAGGCGGCUCUCUGGUCUGCAACUGACGCUGAGGCUCGAAAGCAUGGUAGCGAACAGGAUUAGAUACCCUUGGUAGUCCAUGCCGUAAACGAUGAGUGCUAA
rnacentral:rRNA from 1 species